rnacentral:rRNA from 1 species
UACGAAGGGUGCUAGCGUUGUUCGGAAUUACUGGGCGUAAAGCGCGCGUAGGCGGCUAUUCAAGUCAGGGGUGAAAUCCUGGGGCUCAACCCCAGAAUUGCCUUUGAAACUGGGUAGCUUGAGUGUCGGAGGGGAUAGCGGAAUUCCUAAUGUAGAGGUGAAAUUCGUAGAUAUUAGGAGGAACACCGGUGGCGAAGGCGGCUAUCUGGACGACAACUGACGCUGAGGCGCGAAAGCGCGGGGAUCAAACAGG